rnacentral:rRNA from 1 species
GAACCAGACUCCUACGGGAGGCAGCAGUGGGGAAUAUUGCACAAUGGGCGAAAGCCUGAUGCAGCAACGCCGCGUGAAGGAAGACGGUUUUCGGAUUGUAAACUUCUGUUCUUAGUGAAGAAUAAUGACGGUAACUAAGGAGCAAGCCACGGCUAACUACGUGCCAGCAGCCGCGGUAAUACGUAGGUGGCAAGCGUUGUCCGGAAUUACUGGGUGUAAAGGGAGCGUAGGCGGGAAGCCAAGUCAGCUGUGAAAACUACGGGCGUAACCUGUAGACUGCAGUUGAAACUGGCGUUCUUGAGCGAAGUAGAGGGUGGCGGAAGUCCGAGCGUAGCGGUGAAAUGCGUAGAUAUUCGGAGGAACACCGGUGGCGAAGGCGGCCAACUGGGCUUUAACUGACGCUGAGGCUCGAAAGUGUGGGGAGCAAACAGGAUUAGAUACCCCCGUAAAA